UCAAAGUGUCAAGGUCAUCAAGAGCAGAAAAUAUAGAUGUUAGAUAGAUUAGUUGCUAGCUUUGUACAUUUAUUUAUAUUAUUAUUUUUCAUUUUUUUAUACAUUUUCUUACUCUUGCAUGAUGAAAUAGUACUCUAGGUACCCAUAUGUCAUUAUCUGCUGGCAAAUUGUGCAUUAUUGAAGUUCUAAAGAAACAAGUGGCAGAAGACAGGGGAGCCAUACAUAUAUGCAUUGGAGGAGCAACUGAUGGACUGAGCAGAAAAUUGAAGCACAAAAUUUGCGAUCGUGGAGUUACAAGUGCAAGCUGAUAAAAUUACACAUACACUCACAGAGAUAGAUAAAGAGAGAGAGAUAUAUAUAAAUAGAUAGAGAAGCAUUGGUGGUGGUUUGUCCCCCAUUAAUGUAAGUUGCUUCUCUGUACAACAUAGAAAAUAUUUUGCAAACUAAUUUCGCUUUAAUGUAACGAACUUAUCUGAAAACCUUUAGUUGUGCUGUAUUGAAUGAGUUUUACAAUUUUGAACCUUGUCAUUAUGCGCUAUGCUUAUAAUAUUGUUUUAUUUGGUGUGACAGAAA